rnacentral:rRNA from 1 species
AGCCAGACUCCUACGGGAGGCAGCAGUGGGGAAUAUUGCACAAUGGGGGAAACCCUGAUGCAGCGACGCCGCGUGAGUGAAGAAGUAUUUCGGUAUGUAAAGCUCUAUCAGCGGGGAAGAAAAUGACGGUACCUGAUUAAGAAGCCCCGGCUAACUACGUGCCAGCAGCCGCGGUAAUACGUAGGGGGCAAGCGUUAUCCGGAUUUACUGGGUGUAAAGGGAGCGUAGACGGUGAUGCAAGUCAGAAGUGAAAGCCCGGGGCUCAACUCCGGGACUGCUUUUGAAACUGUACGGCUGGAGUGCAGGAGAGGUAAGUGGAAUUCCUAGUGUAGCGGUGAAAUGCGUAGAUAUUAGGAGGAACACCAGUGGCGAAGGCGGCUUACUGGACUGUAACUGACGUUGAGGCUCGAAAGCGUGGGGAGCAAACAGGAUUAGAUACCCGAGUAA